UACAGAGGUCCCAAGCGUUGUUCGGAUUCACUGGGCGUAAAGGGUGCGUAGGCGGUCGGGUAAGUCUGAUGUGAAAUCUCACAGCUUAACUGUGAAACUGCAUUGGAUACUAUUCGGCUUGAGAGUUGGAGGGGGGACUGGAAUUCUUGGUGUAGCAGUGAAAUGCGUAGAUAUGCGGAGGAACACCGAUGGCGAGGGCAAUCCCCUGGGCCUGCACUGACGCUCAUGCACGAAAGCGUGGGGAGCAAACAGG
rnacentral:rRNA from 1 species